UGCAGUCCUACAAAUAUUGGCACUCCAUUUGCAGGGAGGAGUCACCUCAGUUAUUUUCAUGUUGUGUGGGAUGAGAAAAAAAUUACCAUUCAUUGACGAUGAUUAUAAAGCUCAGCUAUGAUGUUCUAUAGGUAUGUACAAACCUUGAGAAGAUGAGAGAGAAGAUGGUGAAGGAGGGACAGGAGGUGAGCUAUCACAUGUGGGCAGAGGCAGAUGGAGUUGAUGAGGCAGAGCUGAAGAGCAAGCUGCAAGCAGGUUACUGCUGAGAGAGGCUGCUGGUGCUUGUUCCAUUUGG